UCAGACCCGGUGAAAACAAUGGCAAGCAUUGGAAUGCAGUGUAACAACGACGAUGAAUUAUCUGAUAUUUCGAGCGAUGAACACUAUUCUGAAGGGUUCCACGAAGACGGAGAAGAAUAUAAGCUUUAUAAAGGCAUUAAAGGUUAUCAGUUUGAGCCAGUUAGACAGCAUACACAUUUGAAUGCAGAUGAAAUUGCUGGCCAUGAAGAAAGUGCUGAGCACACAGGGAAGAGGAAAUGCCUCGUGUUAGAAAAAAAUACUGGUGUGCAUGUAAAUGCUGCAUACCUAUGCAAAAAACAGGAGAGCUUUUCCUGCCAUGGGAGUCAACAUAUUCACCAGAAAAUGGCAGAUUAUUCAGACCAUCUGCUGCAGUGCAUGAUGGAUCACCCAGGAUUUAUUGCCAGCUCUCUGAACACAUGGGUACAGGAGGUUGCCUUUUUACAAUUCAGGCAACAGUAUCGGCAGUGACUGGAUUUUCCACUGCAUGAGUAAGAGGGUCGCAGGAGUAGUGAGCCUAUCCCAGCUGUCAUCAAGCAGAAGGAACUGGAGAUCCAAGAGAAAACGCAUGCAUGCACUCGUUGAACAUGCAAACUCCAUGCAGCUGGGGCUGGAAUUGAACCCGGGUCCUCAUAAUUGUGAGGCAUACGCUUUACAGCUAUGCCUCUGUAUCACCCCAUUUAUAUUAAGAUUUUUCAAAAUAAGGAAUCAAAUGAUUAUUGUUCCUGCUCAAAGCAGCAUUUGUCCAAUCAAUGCUUGUUCAAACAAAGUCCCAUUCUGGAAAAUUCUCAUAUUUUCUUAUUUUCAGGUGCAUCCGACAUACUGCUUAUAGAAAGCUUAUAGAAAAAACAUGUAGGCACGAGGAGAAAAUGCAAACUCCACACAGGGAGGGCUGGAAUUGAACCCGGGUUCUCAGGACUGUGAGACCAAAACUUUCCAGCUGCUUCGCCGUGCCGCCAUUUGUUCACAUUAUUCUCGUUUUUCUAGUUGAAAAAACUAUUUGCAGUUAAAAAAAUUGUUUUUUUUUUUUUGCUAAGAACGACAUGUGCUUCUAUCAUUAAACCAUGUAAACAGUGUUAUAACUUUUCAGGGGGAAAAAAA